rnacentral:misc_RNA from 1 species
UGUNNCAUACACGUGUGGCGGACGGGUUAUUAUCUGUGGGAAAGGAAAAAAAACUUGGACCCACUGCGGGAAACUGCAGCUAAUACCGGAUACGCCCCGAGGGGGAAAGGAGUAUCCACUAUUGGAGGAGCCCGCUCCCGAUUAGCUAGUUGGUGAGGUAACGGCUCACCAAUGCCAUGAUCGGUAGCUGGUUUGAGAGAACGACCAGCCACACUGGGACUGACACACUGUCUAUACUCCUACUGGAGGCAGCAGUGGG